rnacentral:rRNA from 1 species
AGAGUUUGAUCAUGGCUCAGGAUGAACGCUGGCGGCGUGCUUAACACAUGCAAGUCGAACGAAGCACUUAUCUUUGAUUCUUCGGAUGAAGAGGUUUGUGACUGAGUGGCGGACGGGUGAGUAACGCGUGGGUAACCUGCCUCAUACAGGGGGAUAACAGUUAGAAAUGACUGCUAAUACCGCAUAAGACCACGGAGCCGCAUGGCUCAGUGGGAAAAACUCCGGUGGUAUGAGAUGGACCCGCGUCUGAUUAGGUAGUUGGUGGGGUAACGGCCUACCAAGCCAACGAUCAGUAGCCGACCUGAGAGGGUGACCGGCCACAUUGGGACUGAGACACGGCCCAAACUCCUACGGGAGGCAGCAGUGGGGAAUAUUGCACAAUGGGGGAAACCCUGAUGCAGCGACGCCGCGUGAGCGAAGAAGUAUUUCGGUAUGUAAAGCUCUAUCAGCAGGGAAGAAAAUGACGGUACCUGACUAAGAAGCACCGGCUAAAUACGUGCCAGCAGCCGCGGUAAUACGUAUGGUGCAAGCGUUAUCCGGAUUUACUGGGUGUAAAGGGAGCGUAGACGGCUGUGUAAGUCUGAAGUGAAAGCCCGGGGCUCAACCCCGGGACUGCUUUGGAAACUAUGCAGCUAGAGUGUCGGAGAGGUAAGUGGAAUUCCCAGUGUAGCGGUGAAAUGCGUAGAUAUUGGGAGGAACACCAGUGGCGAAGGCGGCUUACUGGACGAUGACUGACGUUGAGGCUCGAAAGCGUGGGGAGCAAACAGGAUUAGAUACCCUGGUAGUCCGCACGGUAAACGAUGGAUGCCCGCUGUUGGUCUGAAUAGGUCAGCGGCCAAGCGAAAGCAUUAAGCAUCCCACCUGGGGAGUACGCCGGCAACGGUGAAACUCAAAGGAAUUGACGGGGGCCCGCACAAGCGGAGGAACAUGUGGUUUAAUUCGAUGAUACGCGAGGAACCUUACCCGGGCUUGAAUUGCAGAGGAAGGAUUUGGAGACAAUGACGCCCUUCGGGGCCUCUGUGAAGGUGCUGCAUGGUUGUCGUCAGCUCGUGCCGUGAGGUGUCGGCUUAAGUGCCAUAAUGAGCGCAACCCCUCUCCUUAGUUGCCAUCAGGUCAUGCUGGGCACUCUGGGGACACUGCCACCGUAAGGUGUGAGGAAGGUGGGGAUGACGUCAAAUCAGCACGGCCCUUACGUCCGGGGCUACACACGUGUUACAAUGGCAGGUACAGAGAGACGGUCCCUUGCAAAAGGGAUCAAAUCCUCAAAGCCUGUCUCAGUUCGGACUGGGGUCUGCAACCCGACCCCACGAAGCUGGAUUCGCUAGUAAUCGCGCAUCAGCCAUGGCGCGGUGAAUACGCUCCCGGGCCUUGUACACACCGCCCGUCAAGCCAUGAAAGCCGGGGGCGCCUAAAGUCCGUGACCGUAAGGAGCGGCCUAGGGCGAAACUGGUAAUUGGGGCUAAGUCGUAACAAGGUA